UACAGAGGGUGCAAGCGUUACUCGGAAUUACUGGGCGUAAAGCGUGCGUAGGUGGUUGUUUAAGUCUGUCGUGAAAGCCCUGGGCUCAACCUGGGAAUUGCGAUGGAAACUGGGCGACUAGAGUGUGGCAGAGGGUAGUGGAAUUCCUGGUGUAGCAGUGAAAUGCGUAGAGAUCAGGAGGAACAUCCGUGGCGAAGGCGACUGCCUGGGCCAACACUGACACUGAGGCGCGAAAGCGUGGGGAGCAAGCAGG
rnacentral:rRNA from 1 species